UACGAGGGGUGCAAGCGUUACUCGGAAUUACUGGGCGUAAAGCGUGCGCAGGCGGUUCCGCAAGUCAGAUGUGAAAUCCCCGGGCUCAACCUGGGAACUGCAUUUGAAACUACGGAGCUAGAGUGUGUCAGAGGGGGGUGGAAUUCCACGUGUAGCAGUGAAAUGCGUAGAUAUGUGGAGGAACACCGAUGGCGAAGGCAGCCCCCUGGGAUAACACUGACGCUCAUGCACGAAAGCGUGGGGAGCAAACAGG
rnacentral:rRNA from 1 species